rnacentral:rRNA from 1 species
GGGUUCCUCGGUACUGAAGUUAACACAUUAAGUACUCCGCCUGAGUAGUACGUACGCAAGUAUGAAACUUAAAGGAAUUGACGGGAUCCCGCACAAGCGGUGGAUCAUGUUGUUUAAUUCGAAGAUACACGAAAAACCUUACCAGGUCUUGACAUUAUCCUGCGAAGCUAUAGAAAUAUAGGGGAGGUUAUCAGGAUAACAGGUGGUGCAUGGUUGUCGUCAGCUCGUGUCGUGAGAUGUUAGGUUAAGUCCUAAAACGAGCGCAACCCUUGUCGUUAGUUACCAGCACGUUAUGGUGGGGACUUUAGCGAGACUGCCAAUGAAAAAAUUGGAGGAAGGUGAGGAUUACGUCAAAUCAUCAUGCCCCUUAUGAUCUGGGCUACAAACGUGAUACAAUGGCUAUUACAAAGAGCAGCUGAAACGUGAGUUGUUAGCUAAUCUCAAAAAAAUAGUCUCAGUUCGGAUUGAAGUCUGCAACUCGACUUCAUGAAGUUGGAAUCGCUAGUAAUCGCGAAUCAGCAUGUCGCGGUGAAUACGUUCUCGGGGUUUGUACACACCGCCCGUCAAACCAUGAAAGUUGACAAUACCCAAAACCAGUCGCUUAACUACUUCGGUAGAGGGAGCUGUCUAAGGUAGGGUCGAUGAUUGGGGUUAAGUCGUAACAAGGUAUCCCUACCGGAAGGUGGGGAUGGAUCACCUCCUUUCUAAGGAAAUGUCGUAUCAUGAUCAUCUUCAGUUUUGAAAGACUUAGAGUAGAUAAGUUUUUCUUUUGGCGUAGAGGAAGGGCCUAUAGCUCAGUUGGUAGAGCACACGCUUGAUAAGCGUGCGGUCAAUGGUUCAAGUCCAUUUAGGCCCACCAUACCACAUUCUUCUUUAUUCAAAA